CUCUGAGUCUCUUCCGGCAGAGGUCUUUUUGACGGGGUGUUUGGGAGUGCGGCGCCGGAGUGUGGCUCCUGGAGCCCCCGCUCGGGCCUGCUGCUGCGGCCUGUGUUCCUGCGCGCGAUGGUGUUAGGAGCGGAGGAAUGCAAGGAAACACGGAGAGGGAAGGCUUCCUCUGCGCGCUGCGCAGUUGUGGUUACUUUAUAUUUGGCCGCCUUCCCAGAAGGAUUUGAAGCAAUUUAGCCGCAUAGAAGCCUUGGCUUAAUUGCCUCCAAUUAUAAAGAUGAUUAGAAUGAAAAAGGUUCUUGCUGUUACUCUUCAUUCAAGCUGGGGGCCUAACUGCUUACAACAGUUCAGUAAAUGACAAUAUCUUUAUAAGCAGAAUUGAAACAUUUAUCUUUCUACCUGACCCCUCCGGAAUUUAAAAACUUUCAGUGCAGAAACCUCAAAAUGUCUUGGGGACCUCGAGAAGAGAGGAAUUCACCCAAAUCGACAGGUGGUGGCUAAUACUGUAGCAGCGUUAGCUGACAUCAGUGAAUCUCACCCAAAUAGCACCUUACUUGAUCUGAACCCACAGAACAUUAAUAAGCUGCUGACAGCCCUGAAUGAGUGCACCAAAUGGGGCCAGGUUUUCAUCCUGGACUGCCUGUCUAAUUACAACCCUAAAGAUGACCGGGAGGCUCAGAGGUAAGAACCUUCCUUGCCUGGCUGAAGCUCAAGCUACUAUAACAUAAGUGCUCUUCACUUGUCUGGGAAAUUGUUCCCUCUGGACUUCACUAAAGUUUACCCUCAUAGAUCCUUUCCAUCAUUGAAAACACAACAUCUGUGAGCAGCUAACUCCCUGACUAUCUCAUGUCAACUCAGUGGUGGUGCUUUCAGCAUUAAGAGUCCUAAUGAAAUUUCUAGAGUUGUUACCUAAGGACUCUGACUACUACAAUAUGCUGCGCAGGCCUGAAUCUUGAAGCAGGAAAUCAAAGUCUUCUUUGUGAAAUACAAUGACCCUAUCUAUGUUAAACUAGAGAAGUUGGACAUAAAGAUUCGCUUGGCAUCCCAAGGCAACAUUGCUCAGGUUCUAGCAGAACUGAAGGAGUAUGCCACCCACGUAGAUGUUGACUUUGUUCAUCAAGCUGUGCGGGCCAUUGGAAGGUGCGCCAUCAAGGUGGAGGCAA